rnacentral:rRNA from 1 species
CAUGGGUUGUCGUCAGCUCGUGUCGUGAGAUGUUGGGUUAAGUCCCGCAACGAGCGCAACCCUAUUGUUAGUUGCCAUCAUUCAGUUGGGCACUCUAGCGAGACUGCCGGGUAAUAAACCGGAGGAAGUGGGGAUGACGUCAAAUCAUCAUGCCCCUUAUGACCUGGGCUACACACGUGCUACAAUGGUUGGUACAACGAGUUGCGAGUCGGUGACGGCGAGCUAAUCUCUUAAAGCCAAUCUCAGUUCGGAUUGUAGGCUGCAACUCGCCUGCACGAAGUCGGAAUCGCUAGUAAUCGCGGAUCAGCACGCCGCGGUGAAUACGUUCCCGGGCCUU